rnacentral:rRNA from 1 species
UACGAAGGGGGCUAGCGUUGCUCGGAAUUACUGGGCGUAAAGCGCACGUAGGCGGCUUUCUAAGUCGGGGGUGAAAUCCUGGAGCUCAACUCCAGAACUGCCUUCGAUACUGGAGAGCUUGAGUCCGGGAGAGGUGAGUGGAACUGCGAGUGUAGAGGUGAAAUUCGUAGAUAUUCGCAAGAACACCAGUGGCGAAGGCGGCUCACUGGCCCGGUACUGACGCUGACGUGCGAAAGCGUGGGGAGCAAACAGG